GCAGUAGCUCAGGAGGUAGAGCGGUCGUCCAAUAACCGGAAGGUUGGCGGUUCGAUUCCCCCCUAAUCCAAGUCUGUCCGUUGUGUCCUUGGGCAAGACACUUAACCCACCUUGCUCCCAGUGUGUGUCCUCCACUGGUGUAUGAUUGUGAGUGUUGUGUGGUGGUGGUCGGAGAGGCCGUAGGCGCAGAAUGGCAGCCACGUUUCCGUCAGUCUGCCCCAGGGCAGCUGUGACUACUAAGGUAGUUUACCACCACCAAAGUGUGACUGUGUGAGCGAAUGAAUGAUGUAUCCAAUGUAAAGCGCUUUGAGG
rnacentral:lncRNA from 1 species